GCCCCCAUCGACUAGCGGCCUAGGUCAUCGCCCUUUCAAGGCGGUAACGCCGGUUCAAAUCCGACUGGGGGCG
rnacentral:tRNA from 3 species